CCCACCAAUUAAAUUAAUAAAACUAGCAGUCUAUUGUAUCUUCCUUUCCUUUAAAUCAACAACCACAUCUUCAUAAAUUUUAUAGUGACAUCCCUCUUUUGAAUAGCAUUAUGAACAUGUAGAAUUCUUUAGAUUCAAACUGACCAGUUAACCCAUAAGUUUUUUUUUUGCUGGUUUUUUUGUUUGUUUGUUUUGUUUUUUUACAAUUGAUGUCUGAUGCUCAAAUUUUGGAUCAUUGGGAAGCAAAGGCAGGUUCCUCUUAAUGUAAACCAUUCAGGACAGAAUUCACAAUAAAACUGGACAGCACAGAUAAGCCAUAUGCCAACUGAAACAAACAAAUAAGGAAAGGCCAAACACACUGAAGCCAAUACUUUAACUUUAUUUUGGGUAGAGAAGUAAGAAAAAGCACAGAGUAUACAGAGUAAAAUCAGUCUUUUCAAAAUCUUCACAGUGGACCUUGCACUGCUUUGCAUCUCAGUUGACAUGGCUCAGUGGCAACACUGCAAACCGAGACGUAAGCCAAUACAGAUCCCGCGUAGACGCUCCUUGGACUGGCAGCGCCCAAAUCUACAAGUGCAGGUCAUGUUCCGCUGAAGACCUGGGAAGAGAAGGGGCAUGUCAGGCACAGUGUUCCUGAGGGGGAGAUGCAGAGCAAGACCAGGGAUGUUGCUCUAAGAAGUGACAUGUCUGUCUGCCACUAAUCAACCAAUAUACACCGGUCAUAAAAGAAUGGAGAGAAUUCACAUUUGUCAUAGACAAAAGAAAUCUUACUCUGAAUUGCUCAUGAAGGAUCAUCAAUCAUUUACAGGUUUAUCACAUCCCCUGUGAUACAGUACCCAUAUUCACCAUUACUCACCUCUCAUUCUAACCCAUCUACACACACCAGCUUUUGAGCCCUGCCUGCAGGUGCUAAGGAGCGAUGGAAAGAGGCUAGUGUAGCCUCUGACCCUGAAGCUGCUGAG
rnacentral:lncRNA from 1 species